CAGAUUUAAUUCAACCUGAUUUAAUUACUGUCUUCGCUCUUGCCGAUGAGAUUUAUUAACUGGCAGCACCGCUUUACAGUUUUCAAGUCAGUUCGUCUGCACUCUGCUAAAAUUCACAAUACAGUAAUUCACGUCGGUACUCGGUAGUAGGUUACCGGUAACGAGACAGAAGAACACAAAGUCUGUGACCUCCAGAGAUGCUGGGAAGCCAUCAGUUGAGUUGUCGCAACGCCAUGGUCUCUUCUAUAGUCUUCAUCAAAAAUGCUCUUCGAGGAGACUCCCCGAAUCCAGAAAUGCCUUGAUAAGUUCGCCAGCGUCCCCGUACGAUCUUUAGAUAGAGACGCCGAAUACAACACACAACUCUGCUUGUUGUGUUAUUGUAGGACUUUAUUUAUUUUUUGGUGGCGUACCCUGCAACAGCAUGUUUGUUGUUAUGACUGUUUUUACUUCU